GGGUGAAAUCCUAUAAUCCCGGGAGGACCACCAGUGGCGAAGGCUGUUGGCUAGAACAUGCCCGACGGUGAGGGAUGAAAGCUGGGGGAGCGAACCGGAUUAGAUACCCGGGUAGUCCCAGCUGUAAACAAUGCAGGCUAGGUGUUAGGGCGGUCACGUGCCGCUCUAGUGCCGCAGGGAAACUGUUAAGCCUGCCGCCUGGGGAGUACGGCUGCAAGGCUGAAACUUAAAGGAAUUGGCGGGGGAGCACCACAAGGGGUGAAGCUUGCGGUUUAAUUGGAGUCAACGCCGGAAAUCUCACCGGGGGCGACAGCAGAGUGAAGGCCAGAUUAAAGGUCUUGCCAGACGAGCUGAGAGGAGGUGCAUGGCCGUCGCCAGUUCGUGCCGUGAGGUGUCCUGUUAAGUCAGGCAACGAUCGAGACCCGCGUCCCUCGUUGCUAUUAGCCUUGUGCUGAGCACACUGGGGAGACCGCCGCCGAUAAGGCGGAGGAAGGAGCGGGCCACGGCAGGUCAGUAUGCCCCGAAUCUCCCGGGCCACACGCGAGCUGCAAUGGCAGGCACAAUGGGUUCCGACCUCGAAAGAGGGAGGCAAUCUCGAAAGCCUGCCGUAGUUGGGAUCGAGGGUUGAAACUCACCCUCGUGAACAUGGAAUCCCUAG
rnacentral:rRNA from 1 species